GGCGAACGCUGGCGGCGUGCUUAACACAUGCAAGUCGAACGGAAAGGCCUGCUUUCCCUUGUGGAUUGCGGGUACUCGAGUGGCGAACGGGUGAGUAACACGUGAGUGAUCUGCCCCCAACUUGGGUAUAAGCCUGGGAAACUGGGUCUAAUUCCCGAUAGGACUGCAGGGUGGUGCCUGUGGUGGAAAACGAUUUUCUAGUGGUUGGGGAUGAGCUCGCGGCCUAUCAGCUUGUUGGUGGGGUAAUGGCCUACCAAGGCGGCGACGGGUAGCCGGCCUGAGAGGGUGGACGGCCACAUUGGGACUGAGAUACGGCCCAGACUCCUACGGGAGGCAGCAGUGGGGAAUAUUACACAAUGGGCGGAAGCCUGAUGCAGCGACGCCGCGUGGGGGAUGACGGCCUUCGGGUGGUAAACUCCUUUCGACCGCGAGGAAGCCACCUGGUUGGAAGGGUGGUGACGGUAGUGGUAGAAGAAGCACCGGCUAACUACGUG
rnacentral:rRNA from 1 species